rnacentral:rRNA from 1 species
GACGAACGCUGGCGGCGUGCUUAACACAUGCAAGUCGAGCGGUAAGGCCCUUUCGGGGGUACACGAGCGGCGAACGGGUGAGUAACACGUGGGUGACCUGCCCUCAGCUUCUGGGAUAAGCCCGGGAAACCGGGUCUAAUACCGGAUAUGACUCCAUGACGCAUGUUGUGGGGUGGAAAGCCUUGUGCGGCUGAGGAUGGGCCCGCGGCCUAUCAGCUUGGUUGGUGGGGUGAUGG